ACUUAAAUAGUUUAAAAUAGAAAAUAUAAAUUUGUGGCGUUUAAGAUGUAAUUUUUACUUUAAGUA
rnacentral:tRNA from 1 species